AUAUUAUUAAUUCCUAACCUACUCACCUUAGCCACAGCUUUGCUUAUCUUGUUUUGUUGAUCGAAGCUUAUCUCUUUAGUGAACAAAAAAAAUACUUUAACUUCAUCCCCUCUCUAUCCUCUUCAAAGAUUUACCUUUUAGUUCCAAGGAUAGAUUAUGAUGACCGCACAGAUGGAUCUAUACCGGCUAAACUUUCUAGGUCGAUGGAUUAAUAAACGACUUCAGAGGUUUAUUCUUGAAAGCCGCUGCAUUUGUCUGCUUCCCUACCAUUGCUAAAGGAAAAGAAAGCUGAGACUGAAGAGGGUUAUGAACGUUCCAGCAAUAAGCAUUGCUCUUUGAAAAAUUACGGACAGAAAUCCCAAGGUGCCCAGUUCAUUAAAGGCUUUGUCUUUGAGCUUUCUACAAGGAAAUCAAAGUGAAACCAAUGGCACAACCCAGAAUCUAUAUGAACUACUUGGAAGAUCAUAGCGAAGAAGUCGAGACGUUUGCUAAGAUCCGGAUUGAUGAGAAGGAAAGCCUUGCUUGAAAUAUUAUCACUAAAAAAUUACAAAAGUUAAAAGAAUAUAUAAGAUUAAAAGUUUAAUAAUAAAUUAAUUAUGUUAAAUGAAGUGUG